CUUUUUGCGAGCCACAUGUCAAGUCGUGUUAGUUCGAGUCGUAUUCCUUCACCGAGCCUCGUGAGUCAUCUCUGUGGAUCCGAGCCGUUUCGUGUAAGCCAUACGCGAGCCACGCGCAACCGAGCCAUUCCUGUGUGAGUCGUAUGCCAGCCGUGAGUCUCAAGACUCGAGCUGAAGCGUUGUUAGUCGAGCCACCUUCAGUUUUAGCCGUCUGCAACAUAUUUAAGCCCUUGGUGAGUUUUUGCUUAAUUCUCGUUGGUUUGGUACACCCAAAUAAUUAUUGUUUUGGGUCUAAAAUGAGUUAGCACUGGAAUGAGUUGAAUUAUGUUGUUUGAGAUGGUCGUAUAAAUAGUUACUUUGAAAACCAUAUUGUGAUUUAGAUAUAGUAUUAUUUGUUGAGGCAUGCUAUAAUCAAAUAUGUUACUUUUGAGUUAUGUGUAAUUGAGCUAAGAUGUUGAUCUUAUGAUAAACAUGUAUAGGCUAUAGUGUUCUGUUAGUUUUGCCUAUUAGAGUUGUACCGUAUGGGGGUCCAUCAGGGUCACCACCUAUGUAUGCAUGUGUGACUUGUUUGAGAUGUGAUUCGACGGGAUCACUUACAGUCUGACUCUCCUAUAGGAUGAUUCCUUCGGGUUCACCGAGAGCCUAGAUGUGUCCCUACGGAACCACUUGAUAGUAUGCGUUCGGGAGCGCAAUAGUAUGCGGUAAGGGUAGAGGCAAGGGCAUAAUAGCGAAUGAUAAGAAGUGAUCAUAGAUCGCCAUAGGGAACAAUUCAGUUUUCUUCCGCAUUUAUAUUUCAAUAGUUAUAUUUUCAUAGGUUUAUUUCAGAACUCUGGUUCAAUUACUUUAAGUAUUUCUUCUAUUUUUGGGCCCAAACUGGUAUUUUGAUCAGUUAUUUUAACUACUUAUUAUUUAAA